rnacentral:rRNA from 1 species
GGUCAAGUGAAGAAGCGCAUACGGUGGAUGCCUUGGCAGUCAGAGGCGAUGAAAGACGUGGUAGCCUGCGAAAAGCUUCGGGGAGUCGGCAAACAGACUUUGAUCCGGAGAUCUCUGAAUGGGGGAACCCACCUAGGAUAACCUAGGUAUCUUGUACUGAAUCCAUAGGUGCAAGAGGCGAACCAGGGGAACUGAAACAUCUAAGUACCCUGAGGAAAAGAAAUCAACCGAGAUUCCCUUAGUAGUGGCGAGCGAACGGGGAUUAGCCCUUAAGCUUCAUUGAUUUUAGCGGAACGCUCUGGAAAGUGCGGCCAUAGUGGGUGAUAGCCCCGUACGCGAAAGGAUCUUUGAAGUGAAAUCGAGUAGGACGGAGCACGAGAAACUUUGUCUGAACAUGGGGGGACCAUCCUCCAAGGCUAAAUACUACUGACUGACCGAUAGUGAACCAGUACCGUGAGGGAAAGGCGAAAAGAACCCCGGAGAGGGGAGUGAAAUAGAACCUGAAACCGUAUGCGUACAAGCAGUGGGAGCCUACUUGUUAGGUGACUGCGUACCUUUUGUAUAAUGGGUCAGCGACUUAUAUUCAGUGGCAAGCUUAACCGUAUAGGGUAGGCGUAGCGAAAGCGAGUCUUAAUAGGGCGUUUAGUCGCUGGGUAUAGACCCGAAACCGGGCGAUCUAUCCAUGAGCAGGUUGAAGGUUAGGUAACACUGACUGGAGGACCGAACCCACUCCCGUUGAAAAGGUAGGGGAUGACUUGUGGAUCGGAGUGAAAGGCUAAUCAAGCUCGGAGAUAGCUGGUUCUCCUCGAAAGCUAUUUAGGUAGCGCCUCAUGUAUCACUCUGGGGGGUAGAGCACUGUUUCGGCUAGGGGGUCAUCCCGACUUACCAAACCGAUGCAAACUCCGAAUACCCAGAAGUGCCGAGCAUGGG